UACUUCUUAAACCGCCCUCUACCUCUUCUUGUGCCCUCCACAACCAGCCGCUCACACCUCCGUAUCGGAGCAUCUGAGCUUCUCCUUUGAACAUGUCCGAACCAUUUAGAAUGAUAUUUCGAAAAACGUCACAAGUUGAAUUGUGUCAGCUUAGGAGUCUCAAAACAAACACGAUAUUUUAACCAAUUGAUCUUCAAUAUAUAGCCAAAAAAUUGUCUAUUCGUGACUUUUGCAUACUCUCUUCUUUAUUAUUCGCGUUUAGAAUGGGCAAACAAUUGAAGUCUUUAACCAGUAGGACUCAUAAAUGUCUAGGUCACCUUAACUUUUAUCUUAAACUUUGACUUGAAUUCUUUAGAUAAAAGAAUAAUAAAUCUAUAAUGUAAGUAUGUCCACAGCUCCAUAAAAGGACUGUCACAUAGACAGAAGCUAAGCAAUUUGACAUAAUCUUGAAUAUAUUUUUAUCUCCUUCAAUAGAAAUUAAAGAAUAAGAGGAAAAAAAAAAGCUACAUAGAGAACCUUUCAGAAAAAAAUACUUUUUGAGUAAAAGAUUAAAGCAUACCACAGGGCAUGCAGCAUCAUCUUGUUAUGUUCAUGGGCUAUCUAUAUACAAUUUCCGAUAUCGUAGUCAAACUCAACCGAUUAUUUCACAGUUUUUAUCAGAACUAUUACUCACUUUAUUAGGCCAAUUACUCAUAUGAUCUACAAGGCUACAAUUACUUUGUCGAACUUUUCUUUUCUAUCAUUCUCUAGCAUAAUUGUCAGAAAAAGCUAUGUAGGUGUAAUACUUGAGCAGAGUUUGAUAUAAUAUGGAUUGUAAAACGCACACGAAUGCGUUCGAGUGUAUUCUAUUUAUCCAUCUAAAUCACACAUUUGCUGAUUCAAUGACCAAGAAAAACACUUUUGUUUGAAUACUGUUUCAUGUACAAUCACUUUUUCUUGUGAUGUAAUACUUGAUAGAGUAGAUUACCGUGUCAGAAUUAAUAUGAACAUAAUGGUAUCAAAUUUAACACUUUAGAUGCACAAAUAUAAAAUUUAGAUUAAAAUAUUGAGUAAUAUGACUUACCAAUUCGAGACACAGGCAAAACUGCAAGAACUCUUGGACCAUUGAAAUUUGAUUACAAACGACCACCAGCUUCUUCUAUCCGAUUGAGUUCAUUAGACCGAUCAGACUAAAAAAAAAGUUGGGAAAUCAACAUUAAUUAAGAAUACAUAAAGGAAUAAGAAGAAAGCAAAACCAAACCAUGUUAGGAGAAUGACGUAAAUAAGGAGCACUAAAAGAAAUAAAGAAGAGAAGUUUUUGACAUGCUUACAGCCAAUUACGAUUGUAGAUAUAUGAUUACUACAGCAAAUUAAAUAUGAAAUCUAUGGCAUAUAUAAAAUUAGCCGUCGGUUUGGAACUUAAUCGGUAAGAGGUCCAUGCGGCUUUCUG
rnacentral:lncRNA from 1 species